rnacentral:rRNA from 1 species
UACGUAGGUGGCAAGCGUUAUCCGGAAUUACUGGGCGUAAAGCGUGCGCAGGCGGUAAGUUAAGUCUGAUGUGAAAGCCCCGGGCUCAACCUGGGAAUGGCAUUGGAAACUGGCUUGCUGGAGUGUGGCAGAGGGGGGUGGAAUUCCGCGUGUAGCAGUGAAAUGCGUAGAGAUGCGGAGGAACACCGAUGGCGAAGGCAGCCCCCUGGGCCAACACUGACGCUCAGGCACGAAAGCGUGGGGAGCAAACAGG